rnacentral:lncRNA from 1 species
GGCUGGUUGCGAGCAGAGCAGCUGCUCAUUGGUCCGGUAGAGAUCAGUCCAGGCGGUGAGGCCCGCCUCCUGCAGAUGACUCUCACACAGAAACAGAAGAGAUAGACUGCAGACUGACUGCCUUUAAAUUUCAAUCUGCUAAGGCCAAGAAAAAACAUAAUACUUAUAUACAACAAUUUUACAAAUGUUCACAGCACAAUUUUAAUUUCUGGAAUAUUAGAAAAUAUUAAAAAUAAUAAUACACUGUGAAAUUAUAUUUUUCUGUAAAGUGUUAUUCCCCUCCUGAAGGUGCUGCCUCCUCCCAGUUUACAAUUCCAGAAGCAAACUGGGAGAAAAUACAAACCAUUCAGUUAUUUAUUGACUUAAAUGUCUUUCAAAAAACAAAAGUAAAACAACAUAUCCAGUCUUAAAGUGUAAGCCUGAAAAUUACAAAUGGGUUAGUGGUAUUGUGUUUUUGAGAUGUAAGCAAGAAGAUGUUGCAAGUGAAAUUAUACAAGUAUUUUUAUUAUUAUUACUACGUGUUUAUAUUAAUUUAUUAAUUAAUUAUAGUUUUCCUCUAUUUUUUUAUUAUGUUGUUUUAUUUGUAAAAGUUUUCUUCCUGUGUCUUUUGAAAUGGUGUGCUUAAAUGGUCAAAAAUCAUGUAUUCACAGUAAAAACAUUGAAAAUUGAUUUGAAUAGUUAAUUACAGUCAUGCUACAUAACUAUGAUUUCAUUCUUUGUAUUCGUGUUGUGGAAACAUAGUUUUAUUUCAAAUUCAGAGCUAAUAAAUGUCACUUUGUUUUGUCCCAAGUUGUCCAACACAGUGUGGUUGAGCUACCCGAUCUGUGCGGUGUAUGUCUAUGCUUACAGCUGCUCUGCACACACAAACUAUCCCUGUUUGUCUGUCUGUCUGUAGAUUAGUCUAUAGUUCAGUGUCAGGCUGCCCUGGUGCCGUUCAGCAGCUGUAAGGAGGACUCGAACCUGCGACCAGUCUAAAUCAGAGACUUUGAGUGAAACAUGCUGCUGUGAUUUCAUUCCUGAGACUUUGAUCCUCCGGUGGCUGCUGGGAAAUAAAGCGCCUCUCUGUGCUGGUGCUGCUCAGUCUCCGUUAAACACGUCCGUGUCUCUGGAGAAAUGUCAGCCGUUAGCUCAGACCAGAUCCAGAAACGAGCCGGAACCGAGCCGGAGCAGCUGGAGGCCGGGGUUCUACAACCGCAGACCGUGUUUGUCAUCCUGGACUCGGCUGAAACAAUCAACCUGGUCCGAUGAUGAUGAAGAUGAAGAGGGUGACCUGUCAGAGACUUGUGCCGGGCAGGUUGUUGUUACUGUCUGAUCUUUGACCUCUGAUCCUCUUUGCCUUCUGGUGUAAUGAGUAAUCCAACAUACACGCACACACACACGCACACACACACACACACACACAUAUACACACAGACAGAGCGGCUGGUCCCCUUAUGUAUUUUUCCAGAGAGACAAACAGGCCCAGUCUAGUCCUCCAUGUCGUCCCCGUCCUCCCCCCUCAGUCACACCACCACACCCUGCUACAUACAAAACACACACACACACACACACACACACACACACACACACACACACACACACACACACACACACACACACACACACACAAACAUAAAUUAUGUGGGCGGUGAGACAGAAAGCAAAAGUAAAAACAAGCCAGAGA